CCCUUAGAUGUUCUGGGCCGCACGCGUGCUACACUGAGUGGAUCAGCGGGUCAGGUUGCGCGAAAGUGUUUCCUAAUCUUGAAAUCCGCUCGUGAUGGGGAUUGACGGUUGCAAUUUUCCGUCAUGAACGAGGAAUACCUUGUAAGCGCGGGUCAUCAUCCCGCGCUGAAUACGUCCCUGCCCUUUGUACACACCGCCCGUCGCUCCUACCGAUUGAGUGGUCCGGUGAAAUCUUCGGAUUGAGACUUUGUUUUCUUCACGGAAAACGCUGUUUUAAAAAGUUGAUUAAACCUUACCAUUUAGAGGAAGGUGAAGUCGUAACA
rnacentral:rRNA from 1 species